rnacentral:rRNA from 1 species
CAAUAGCGUAUAUUUAAGUUGUUGCAGUUAAAAAGCUCGUAGUUGGAUUUCGGUUAAGAGCGACCGGUCCGCCGUUUGGUGUGCACUGGUUGGUUUUAACUUCCUGUAGAGGACGUGCUCUGGGCUUAACGACCUGGACUCGGAGUCUACGUGGUUACUUUGAAAAAAUUAGAGUGUUCAAAGCGGGCUUACGCUUGAAUAUUUCAGCAUGGAAUAACACUAUAGGACUCCUGUCCUAUUUCGUUGGUCUCGGGACGGGAGUAAUGAUUAAGAGGAACAGUUGGGGGCAUUCGUAUUUCAUUGUCAGAGGUGAAAUUCUUGGAUUUAUGAAAGACGAACUUCUGCGAAAGCAUUUGCCAAGGAUGCUUNCAUUAA